AUUGAACGCUGGCGGCAGGCCUAACACAUGCAAGUCGAACGAGUGGCGGACGGGUGAGUAAUGUCUGGGAAACUGCCUGAUGGAGGGGGAUAACUACUGGAAACGGUAGAGAAUACCGCAUACCAUCGGAUGGACCCAGAUGGGAUUAGCUAGUAGGUGGGGAAAAGGCUCACCUAGGCGACGAUCCCUAGCUGGUCUGAGAGGAUGACCAGCCACACUGGAAUUGAUACACGGUCCAGACCCCUACGGUAGGCAGCAUUGGGGAAUAUUGCACAAUGUGCGCAAGCUUUAUGAUGCCAUCCCGCGUAUAUUAAGAAGUCCUUCGGUUUGUAAAGUACGUUCUGCGGGCAGGCGUUACCCGCAGAAGAAGCACCGGCUAACUCCGUGCCAGCAGCCGCGGUAAUAC
rnacentral:rRNA from 1 species